rnacentral:rRNA from 1 species
UACGGAGGGUGCGAGCGUUGUCCGGAAUCAUUGGGCGUAAAGGGCGCGUAGGUGGCGGGACAAGCGUGCGGUGAAAGCCUGGGGCUCAACCCCGGGUCGGCCGUGCGAACUGUUUUGCUUGAGCACUGUAGAGGCAGGCGGAAUUCCGGGUGUAGCGGUGGAAUGCGUAGAGAUCCGGAAGAACACCGGUGGCGAAGGCGGCCUGCUGGGCAGUUACUGACACUGAGGCGCGAAAGCAUGGGGAGCGAACAGG